rnacentral:lncRNA from 1 species
ACCUUGACUGCUCCAGGCUGGAUAAGCUCUACAUUAAAGUAUUGGUGAACUUUGAAAGCUAGACAGUCAUCCUCAGAGUGUGAGACUGUGGAGCCAGGGGUGUAGAUGGUCUUGUCUGUCUGGAUGAAGAGGUACCCGCUCUGCAGGCUGACCAGCACCACCUUCUCCACCACUUGGGUCCCGAAGGUGGCCUGCACGGUCACGAACUUGUUGCGCCCCUUUUCUGACUUGAACUCCCUGUUGGCUGGGAUGUGAAGGUGACGUUGCCCAUGUGGUUGGUGGCAGGGGUCAGCACAGUCUUCUCACUGGACAGCACUAGUUUUUUGCCUGGGAAGUCGUGGACAGUAACAGUGACUGGAACAUCCCCUUGCGCGUCGUGGGCCUCCAGCACCAUGGUCUCCUCGCUCUCCAGCCGCAAGAUGUUGGGGGUGAUGAUAGAGUACUGGGACUCCCCAGAGCCAGGGGGAGGUGGGUUAGUAGCAGGAGCAG